rnacentral:rRNA from 1 species
GAUGAACGCUGGCGGCGUGCCUAAUACAUGCAAGUCGAGCGAACAGACGAGGAGCUUGCUCCUCUGACGUUAGCGGCGGACGGGUGAGUAACACGUGGAUAACCUACCUAUAAGACUGGGAUAACUUCGGGAAACCGGAGCUAAUACCGGAUAAUAUAUUGAACCGCAUGGUUCAAUAGUGAAAGACGGUUUUGCUGUCACUUAUAGAUGGAUCCGCGCCGCAUUAGCUAGUUGGUAAGGUAACGGCUUACCAAGGCGACGAUGGGUAGCCGACCUGAGAGGGGGAUCGGCCACACGGGAACUGGGACACGGUCAGACUCCUACGGGAGGCAGCAGUAGGGAAUCUUCCGCAAUGGGCGAAAGCCUGACGGAGCAACGCCGCGUGAGUGAUGAAGGUCUUCGGAUCGUAAAACUCUGUUAUUAGGGAAGAACAAAUGUGUAAGUAACUAUGCACGUCUUGACGGUACCUAAUCAGAAAGCCACGGCUAACUACGUG